rnacentral:pre_miRNA from 1 species
UUACAUAAACCCGUAGAUCCGAACUUGUGGUAUUUGCUUUUCACAAGCUCAGUUCUAAGGGUCUGUGUAGU